GACGAACGCUGGCGGCGUGCUUAACACAUGCAAGUCGAACGGAAAGGCCCUGCUUGCAGGGUACUCGAGUGGCGAACGGGUGAGUAACACGUGGGUGAUCUGCCCUGCACUUCGGGAUAAGCCUGGGAAACUGGGUCUAAUACAGGAUAUGAGCCAUUUUGAGUGUGAUGGUUGGAAAGUUUUUUCGGUGUAGGAUGAGCUCGCGGCCUAUCAGCUUGUUGGUGGGGUAAUGGCCUACCAAGGCGGCGACGGGUAGGCGGCCUGGGAGGGUGGACGGCCACAUUGGGACUGAGAUACGGCCCAGACUCCUACGGGGGGCAGCAGUGGGGAAUAUUGCACAAUGGGCGCAAGCCUGAUGCAGCGACGCCGCGGGGGGGAUGACGGCCUUCGGGUUGUAAACUCCUUUCGCUAGGGACGAAGCUGUUUGUGACGGUACCUAGAUAAGAAGCACCGGCUAACUACGUG
rnacentral:rRNA from 1 species